UUUGAAGACAGAAAGUGAGCUGUCACACUCCACAGUACCAGCACCCUUCAUAUAUAUUGGAAACCGUCUUGAGUGAUUAAUUUCAAGCACCUUGGAUCAGCGAGAUGCCACAGAAGAAUCAGAUUCAAAAUAAGACAUUAACUGCGAAAUCCAAAAUGGCUGCGCUUACCCUAUUGAUAAAAACAGGCUUCUAUGGCUUGCAGUUGAACGUGUCAUCUUGAUGCAGAAAUUCACUAAAAACUAGGAAGAAAUCAUAAAAGAUUGAUAAAAAGGACUUUAACCACUGGGCAUGCCAAUACUGAAUAGCAAUGAGAUUUUAGUAAAGAAGAUGGAAGCUCCGGUCUACAAAAGGAAAGCAAACAGGCCAAGAAGAAAGAAGUCAAUUGCUUUCAAUGGUAUCAUAAGGUUGGAACACAGCAUUGAAGUUCAGAGUUUCAAAGGUAAGCAAAAGCUAAGGGGUCUAGGUUCUGAAGAAAAGAGAACAAGGGUAUAGCUCAAUAUUUUGUACCACUAACCUUCUCAAGGCAUUUUCAUAUUCUUUAUUUCCAUGAACUAAGAGGCCAGGAAGGCACAUAGAAAUCUGAAGCUGAAUCAUAAAUACUAAGGGGAAUCUUUGGUUGUCUUAAUGGUAUUUGGGUUUUAAAAGGUGGCAUAAAGGGCGUGCCUAGUAUGAAUAGCUCUAGUACAUAUAUGAGGUUUGCAGCUGAUUCCCUAGAGAACUAUGUAUUACCAAUAAAAACAAACCAUAAAUAGGCCA
rnacentral:lncRNA from 1 species